rnacentral:rRNA from 1 species
UGGGGAAUUUUGGACAAUGGGCGCAAGCCUGAUCCAGCCAUGCCGCGUGAGUGAAGAAGGCCUUCGGGUUGUAAAGCUCUUUCAGCCGGAAAGAAAUCGCGCAGGAUAAUACUCUGCGUGGAUGACGGUACCGGAAGAAGAAGCACCGGCUAACUACGUGCCAGCAGCCGCGGUAAUACGUAGGGUGCGAGCGUUAAUCGGAAUUACUGGGCGUAAGGCGUGCGCAGGCGGUUAUGCAAGACAGAGGUGAAAUCCCCGGGCUCAACCUGGGAACUGCCUUUGUGACUGCAUAGCUAGAGUACGGUAGAGGGGGAUGGAAUUCCACGUGUAGCAGUGAAAUGCGUAGAUAUGCGGAGGAACACCGAUGGCGAAGGCAAUCCCCUGGGCCUGCACUGACGCUCAUGCACGAAAGCGUGGGGAGCAAACA